GAUUUUUAAAAGAUUUUGUUAGAACAUUUUAAAUAUAUUCAUUUGUAUUUCAAAUAAAAAGAUAAUGAUGAUAAAAAAUAUAAUAGUGAACUUAUGUAAAAUAUGAUAUUUUUUAGGAAUGGUCCAAACUAAAAAAAAUCACACAUGAAAAGAAGUCAUGACUUCUGUUUUAAUAUAUAAGAUGGACGAGAACAUAAAUCAAAAGGUAAAUUCUAGUUUUUUUUACUUAAGUAUAUUUUUCUUGAUUCUUUAUUAGAUUUUAGGUUCUAUUUUUUAAAAACAACCUCAGCAACUUUUGCAACUGAUCAAGUAACUGACCGCAUUAAAAAUUAAAGAAGCAAUAUUUGCAAUACAUCCGGAUAAAGCCCUUAACCUGAUAGUUUUCUAGCCAGUUUUUUUUCAAGUUAACUGAGAUAUAGUAGGACCAGACGUUGUGAAGGAGAUCAGAAUGUUCUUCGAGACAGGAAUCCUUAAACCAUCACAAAAUGUAACAAAUGUUAGACUUAUUCCCAAGAUUAUAGGUGCAAAGAGGGUGGCUGACUAUCGUCCUAUUUCUCUAUGCAAUGUGUAUUUCAAGAUUAUCUCUAAAUUACUGGCACUCAUACUGAAACCAACUCUACGCAAGAUUAUUUCAGAGAACCAGUCAACAUUUAUACUGGGAAAGACACAAUGGCAGUCAAAACUGAUAUGUCUAAAACAUAUGAUAUAGUGGAAUGGAGAUUUAUCUCACAAGUGCUUCAGAGACUAGGUUUUCACGAGAAAUGGGUUAAGUUGAUCAUAGAAUGUGUGACUACAAUUUCUUAUUCUUAUUUGAUCAACGAUUCAGUUCAGGGUUCGGUCAUACCUAACAUGGGGAUAAGACAUGUGAUGAGCCCCAGUCCAUGGAUCAGUACAUGGAACUAGCUCAGCAUGGAGAUCAGGACGUUCUGAACAAUUCAACCGAGGUUCGCCCAUCCGACCGUACCAAUCAGACAAACCAAGCCGUGUACCGGAUCGACCCAUGCUUCGUCCGGAAUGGAGUUUCGGCUGGAACCACGAUCAGACGACCGAACUGACCGUACCACAGCUCGUCUUUCCCGACCAUCUCGACAUUCUAAGGACAAUAGUCGAGCCAGACUUAAGUUGGGUCGUUAAGAACCCAAAGACGGACAUGCAUUCUUACCCGGCGGACCAUCCGGACAGUCCCGCGUGCGUCCUUCUCCUUACCGCAUUGGACACAGCCAGUUCAGAUGAAACUGGAUAGUAGCCGAACGGUCAUCCUGACUGGUCUUCAUCAGAUUCCGCACUUUUGACUCAUUUAUCAUUUUCUAGGUAAUGUUUUCAUUUUCUAUGUCUUGUUUUCUCCAUAAUUCUUUUUGUUAGUCUUUGACCACAAGUACUAUAAAUAUGUAAUCUCAUUCUAUGAAUAAAUCAGUCUAUGUUUAAGUUUAUUUUUGUUUUCUUAUUUUUUCUGAGUGAGAGAGAGAGAGAGAGAUAGAGUUCUUUAGCUAGUUCAUUGGUGUGAACCGGCUUGCUGAUUUGGUGGUCAUCCAGUUCAUCUUUGUGUGUUGUUUGGUGGUUAGCCAACGCACUACAUUCUUUCUUAGGUGGUUAGCCUUAGAUCGUGAGUGUAUCAAGAACCAUUCCGCAUCUCUUGACGAUCCUUUCAAUCCUUCGCAGUUUCAGAAGGGCCAUUUGCCUUCUCGGAUCAUAUCCAACAUCCAGUUAAAGUGAUCCUCCAAUUCAUGGCGUAUCAAGUGGUACCUGAGCCACUUUGGCUGGUUUGUUUUCAUUUCAUCAUUUCAUUCUCAUCUCUCCACAAAUUUCUUUUAUUAUUUCUUGUUGGAUCCGGGCUGUACAUUUACUCUCUUGUGAUUGCCCUUAAAAAAACGAUAAAAAAAAGAGUAAACAUUUUUGGCUUGAAUCACUUCUGAAGAGAAAUCGUGGGGGAGUGGUGGAAAAGAAACCUUGCUGGCUGAAGAGAAACCCAGCCUUAGGACAGUUAAAGCGGAUCCACAUAUAAAUAUUUUCAUCUUUCUUUCUCUUUACCCUUAAAAGUUGUUUUGGGUUUUGAUUACUGAAUUUUUACUGCCUAUCAUAUUUGAACCAGUGAAAAGAAUUCUGAGUGAUUACCUAAAAAACGUGAGCUAAAUACUUUGAGAGUGUAAGGAUUUUUAUUUGCUAACUCUUUUGUUAAGUGUUUUCAGAAUGUUUGGGCUUCACAAGAAAUCAAAUCAGGCUUCAAAACUACAACAACAUGUUUAUUAUCCUUUUAAAACCGUGCUUGAAAAAAAACAAUUGAUUUUUGGGGAUAAGAAACAUUUUUCUUCUAUUGGGUUUGAUUUUGUGCAGAAACAAAGAAACCAAAGGAAGAGGCAAAACAAGUUCGAUGAUGAUGAGAAGAUGGUCAGAAAUGGUGAUUGUCUCUUCAGCAAAACCAAGAGGAGCAACUGUGACGUUCUUGAUCGGAACGAGCUUCAGACUUAUGCCAGUUUGGAGAAGAUGUUGCAUAAGGCAAUUUUCGCUAUUCAGAAACUCAAAAAGAAGGGAAACACCGACACUUCUUCUGCACCAAAACAACAAUGUAAGUUUUCUCCUCUUUCAAAUUCUGAUUUGAAAACUAAUGUGUUUUCUUUUGAUAAAAGCAAAGCUGUGAAACCCACAAGCAAAACUCAUUCUACCAUGUGCUUCAAAUGUCAUAGGAUCGGUCAUUAUGCUAACAAGUGCCAAAACCAUUGGUGACUUUGGAGAAUGAGAACGUUGAAACCGAGCCAGAAAAGGAAGGUCUAUUGCCAAUUUUUGAUGACUGUGCACAUAAGCCGAUGGCAGGUAGCUCUGAAUUGAUUUUUCAGUUUGAAAAGAAUUCUAAAAAGGUUUUGAACAAGAAUGAAUUUUCUGGUCCUUUGAAUGCUUUUGAUAUUGGCGCAUAUAUGACCUUGGUCUUGGAAGCUUUGUGUCAAUACAUGAAGGGUCAGAUGAAGAACAAAACUGUGGUCAUCAAGCAAACCAAGACAGAUUUUCUUCCAUUCAAAAGCUGGACCAAACUCAAGGUGAGCAAUGUUCUGAUUAUGAUUCUUUUGCUUAUAACCCUUUUCCUUUUAAUGUUCCAUCUUUUUGAAGAGGGAGUAAAUGAUGCGCCCCAGUCCAUGGAACCAGCUCGGCAUGGAGAUCAGGACGUUUUGAAUGAUUCAACCGAGGUUCGUCCAUCCGACAGUACCAAUCAGACUAACCGAGCCGUGUACCGGAUCGACCUGCAUUCGUCCAAGAUGGAGUUUCGGCUGAAACCACGAUCAGACGACCAAACUGACCGUACAACAACUCGGUUUUCCCGACCACCCGACAUUUUAAGGACAAUAGUCGAGCCAGACUUAAGUUGGAUCGUGAAGAACCCAAAGACAGACAUGCAUUCUCACCCGGCGAACCAUCCGGACAGUCCCGCAUGCGCCCUUCUCCUUACCGCAUUGGACACAACCAGUUCGGAUGAACCUAGACAGUAGCUGAACGGUCAUCUUGACUGGUCUUCAUCAGAUUACGUACCUUUGACUCAUAUAUCAUUUUUUAGUCAAUGUUUUCAUUUUCUAUCUCUUGUUUUCUCUACAAUUAAUUUAUUAGUCUUUGACCACAAGUACUAUAAAUAUGCAAUCCCAUUCUAUGAAUAAAUCAGUCUAAGUUUGAGUUUAUUUUUAUUUUCUUCUUUUCUCUGAGUGAGAGAGAGAGAGAGAGAGUUCAUUGGUGUGAACCGGCUUGUUGAUUUGGUGGUCAGCCAAUUCAUCUUUGUGUGUUGUUUUGUGGUUAGCCAACUCACUACAUUCUUUCUUAGGUGUUUAGCCUUAGAUCGUGGGUAUAUCAAGAGCCAUUCCACAUCUCUUGACAAUCCUUUCAAUCCUUCUCAGUUCUAGAAGUGCCAUUAGCCUUCUCGGAUCAUAUCCAACACCCAACUAAAAUGAUCCUCCAAUUCAGGGCGUAUCAACAUGGAGAUCUCAUGUUCCCGUAUCACUUCAUCAUAUGCGGUCAAGUUCUAUAUGGUAUAUGUUUAAAAACCGAAAGAGAAAGUAACUUGCAAGGCAUUGAAGUCGCGAGAGGAUGCCCAAAGGUGAGUCAUCUGCUGUUUACAGAUGACAUCAUGUUCUUCUGUCAAACAUCCCCAACUAGCUGCAAUAAACUGAAGGAUAUCUUAUGGGAAUACGAACAAGCUUCGGAUCAAAAGAUCAAUACUGACAAAUCUUCCAUCUUCUUCUCAUCUAAGACCCCAACAGAAACAAGAGAAGUGGUCAAGAACACGCUGGGUAUUACAAAAGAAGGAGGACCAGACAAAUAUUUAGAAUUACCUGAGCAUUUUGGCCGAAGGAAGAAGUAUCUUUUUACGGCAAUUGUGGAUAGAAUUAAACAACGAGCCUCUAGUUGGUCUACAAGAUUUCUCUCCAAAGCAGGCAAGCUCACGAUGUUGAAGUCUGUCUUAACUGCAAUCCCAUCAUUCUCCAUGUCUUGUUUUGAAUUGCAUGCAAGUUUAUGAAAGCGCAUUCAAUCAGUUUUAACAAGAUUCUGGUGGGAUAAUCCGGAUGGGAAAAGGAAAAUGUCAUGGGGUGCAUGGGAUAAGCUAACUAAACCUAAAGCAAGGGGGGGGGGGGGGGGGGGGGGUCUCGGAUCAGAGAUAUUCAAAUUUUCAAUCAAGACCCUCUAUCUAAACAGGCGUGGCAAAUCCUAACAAAACCAGAUAGUUUGUUGGCUCGAAUUCUCCUAGGAAAAUACUGCCACACUAAACCAUUUUUUUAAGCUCAAGUACCAACGGUAUGAUCGCAUGGAUGGCGAAGUAUUCUAUAUGGAAGAGAUCUACUAAAAGGAAACCUAAGAAGGGCCAUAAGAAUUGGACAUACUACUAAAGUUUGUAAAGAUUCUCGGAUAUUGUUGAAUGAGAACCUGAAACCAUUUGGUCUUAUUUCAGAAGCUGCUAUGGAUCUUACAGUGUCUGAUCUACUAACUUCGGAUAUGCAAUGGAAUAAAAACAAGAUUGAGGCUCUUUUACCUCAAUUGGCAACGGAAAUCCAACUGCUACAGCCGAGUCUAUCAAAAGUGGAGGACAUCUUUGUUUGGCAGCCACUACUAUCGGGAGAAUACACAACUCGAUCUGGUUACUGCUCAGCAUCGAUGAAGCAGUCUUUUGCAAUAACUCCGUCUGAACAAGGAGCAUUCAACUGGAUAAAAGAUGUUUGGCCAGAGGUUUGUUCACCAAAAAUGAAGAUUUUCAUUUCGUCUAUCAUACAGAAGGCACUGCCUUUGGGAGAAAACCUACCACAGAGAGGUAUGAUUCCAGGAACACUUUGUAAACGAGGUAAUGAAGUGGAAACUGUAAUUCAUACCUUUUUCAGUGCUCCGAUGUAAUUCAUACUUUGUAAACGAUAAUUCAAAAUUGCAAUUCAUACUUUGUAAACAAUGUAAUGAAGUGGAAACAAUGUGUGGGUAGAAUGAUUAAAAUAUUUUUUAAUAUGUUGUAUCAAUAACUUUAAUGAAGUCAAGUACUUUUGGCAAAACAUGAACAUAUUUACCAUUCUUUUGAUUAACAUCUCUUAAAGUUUACAAAAUAAUUCACAACUAAAAUAUUACAUAUACAAAUCAUAAAAAGAUCAUAAACAAAAUUAUUACACAGCUAGAUAUUAUUCCUCAACAUAGAUAAGUUUGGACUUCACUUCACAUCAUCUCUUUGUACCACUUUGGACAGAAGACUUUGGAAGAAUUUCUGAAGACUUCGUGGGAAGUCUUCUGGCAUAAAAUACAUAAGAUUUCCCAAGAAGUCUUCCGAGAAUCUUUCGAGAGUUUUCCGAGAGUCUUCCGAGAAUUAUCCCAGAAGUCUUCCAAAAUCUGUCUCAGAUAUGAAAAACUGCAUAUUCAAAAGCUUUCAAAUGAGUUCAAAAUAGAGAAGACUUCAAAAAUAAAUUUUUAGAUCAUAAACAAAACAGUCACACUAGGUUGAAUCUAAAUUUUUUUAGAAUCUAAUAUAUAAAACACACAAAAUACAUAUCCAAAAUUUAUACCACUUUAGGCAAAAGACUUCGGAAGACUUCCUGAAGACUUCAUGGGAAGUCUUCUAGCAUAAAAUGCAUUAGAAGACUUUCUAAGAAGGCUUCGGAGAAUCUUCUGAGAAGUCUUUCAAACUCUCUCAGAUCUGGAAAAACCUGCAAAUUCAAAAACAUUCAAAUAACUCAAAACAGAGAAAACUUCAAAAAUGAAAAUUUUAUGCUUACAAAAUAAACAAAACAGUCACACUAUGUUGAAUCUAUAGUUUUUUAGAAUCUAACAUAUAAACACACACAUAAAUUCAUAUCCAAAAUUUAGAGAUCUACCUUUGAAAGAGUGAGAGAUGAGAAUCAUGUAAUGAAAAAUAUGCAAAAAGAAGAUAAAUUAGUGAGAAGACAUAAGAAAAAGUGGGAAAUGGAUAUAAAGUUGAGAUUAGAGAGAUGUUGGAGAGUUUUAGAGUGAGAAACAUUACAUUUUUGUUGCAGUCAUUUGAGAGGAAGAAAGAGAAUGUGUAAAUUUUCUUUAUAUAUGGAGACAAAAAAUUCUAAUUAGGUUAAAUAUUUUCGACCCAUAAGACUUCUGGAAGACUUAUGGAAAACUCAUGGAAGAUUUAUGUAAGACUCAUUGAAGACUUAUGGAAGACUUUGAUUAGACGGAAAAUCUAAAUUAUUCCAAAAUUUAGGCGGGAACCCUAAAUUUUACUUAAAUUUAGACGGGAUGUUGCGGAAGACUUAUUUUUAAGUUUUUUGUGAGUCUUCUUAAACUUAAAAAAAAAUUAGAAAGUGUUUAAAUCAAGUUAUUAUAUUGUUAAACAUAUGUGGGUCAAUUUGAAAAAGAAAAAAAUGAAGGUAAAACUGAAUACAUGUUUUUUGUUUGUUCACAAGGGGGCUGUUGUAAUUUCACUAGGCUUUUGGGUUACUUUUGCAUUUGAUUGAAUUUGGAGUACACUUUUGUAUUCAAAAAAAAGUUAGUCACUUUUGAAAAAUCCCCCUUGUUAAAAACCAGUGUUUUGAAACCCGACCCGGACCCGCGGUUGAACCGGUAAACCCGAUGACCCAGAAAAAAUCCAGUUUGGGUUUUGUGAAAAACCUAAUAUUUAAAAACCCGAAAAAAUCUGCAAAAACCAAGUAAAACUCGAAACCCGAUACCGGUUGAACCACCGGUUAAACUAAUAAAUAACUUUUACUUUUUUUUUAGUUUUUAAUUAUGUUUUUAGAUUAUGUUUUAUAUUCUAAAUUUUCAAUUAAGAAAUUAGGUGCCGACAAAAAAAAGAAGUUAGGUUUUCGCUUUUCAAUUUUAUAUUUGUGAUUUUUAGAUUUUUAUGAAGAUUUCACUAUACCACUUGAAGAAAAUGAACUGAACGAUGGUAGAGAGAAGAAAAAUUAGUUGAUGUGAUUUGGUGUUAGUUUAUUUCCAUUACUGACAAUUUAUUAAAAUGAUUUUUUACUUUUGGUUUAUUUUGUAUUUGAAGUUUAAUUUAUUAUUCACAUUAGACAUUUAAAUAUUUAUAAAUUUUAUGUGUUGAUUUUUUUAGAUGUCACAACUCUUACCUUGUUAGAGAAAUUUUCAAUAGUCUAAACUAUUUUUUGAUAUUUUGUAUGUCAAAUGAAAAUAAAUAUAAAAACUAAAGUUAUGUAUUUUUUUAAAUGUUGUUAAACAUAAAAUAUAUAUGCAUAUCCAAACUGUUAUUUUAUGUUUUAAAAAACAUUUAAAAAUAUUAAAAUUUAGUUUUUAUAUUUUUAUUUACAUAGUUGAUAUAUUAUUAUAUAAUAACUUUAUUUAUUUAUUAACCCGCGGUUCACCCGCGGUCGACCCAGUGACCCAGCAACCCGGUAAGUCCUCCGGUUCAGUGUCCGGGUCGGGUUUAAAAACAUUGUUAAAAACCCAAUAUUUAGAAACCCGCAAAAACCCAUGGAAACCAGUAAAACCCGGAACCCGAUACCGGUUGAACCAAUUAAGUUUUACUUUUUUUUUUAGUUUUUAACUAUGUUUUAUGUUCUAAGUUUCCAAUUAAGAAGUUAGGUGCUGAAAAAAAAGUUAGGUUUUCCCUUUUCAGUUUUAUAUUUGUAAUUUUUAGAUUUUGAUGAAAAAAUUGAAAUGAACGAUGAUAGAGAGAAUCAAAAUUAGUUGAUGUAAUUUGGUGUUAAUUUAUUUAUGUUACUCACAAUUUACUAUAAUGAUCUUUUACUUUUGGUUUAUUUUGGAUUUGUAGUUUAAUUUAUUAUUUACAUUAGACAUUUAAAUAUUUAUGAAUUUUUUGUCUUGAUUUUUUUAGAUCUCAUAAUUCUUAUCUUGUCACAGAAAAUUUUAAAUAGUCUAAACUAUUUUUUGAUAUUUUGUAUGUCAAAUAAAAAUAAAAACAUAAAAACUAAAAUUAAGUAUUUUCUAAAUGUUCUUAAACAUAAAAUAUAUACAUAUCCAAGCUAUUAUUUUAUGUUUUAAA